rnacentral:rRNA from 1 species
UGGGGAAUCUUGGACAAUGGGCGCAAGCCUGAUCCAGCCAUGCCGCGUGAGUGAAGAAGGCCUUCGGGUUGUAAAGCUCUUUUACCAGGGACGAUAAUGACGGUACCUGGAGAAUAAGCCCCGGCAAACUUUGUGCCAGCAGCCGCGGUAAUACGAAGGGGGCUAGCGUUGUUCGGAAUUACUGGGCGUAAAGCGCACGUAGGCGGAUUGUUAAGUCAGAGGUGAAAUCCCGGAGCUCAACUUCGGAACUGCCUUUGAUACUGGCAAUCUAGAGUCCGGAAGAGGUUAGUGGAAUUCCCAGUGUAGAGGUGAAAUUCGUAGAUAUUGGGAAGAACACCAGUGGCGAAGGCGGCUAACUGGUCCGGUACUGACGCUGAGGUGCGAAAGCGUGGGGAGCAAACAGGAUUAGAUACCCGGGUAGUCCCUGAGCGGGCUGGCAAGGCGCAU